AAACUUUGCAAUGUGCGAAUGCACGACAAGGUUAUUCCGAUUGAUUUCUGCUAAAGAGAUCUUUUGUUAGUCCUAGCACCGCUGACGAAUAAGGGGGGGGCAAGUGCUGGUGUCAGCCUCCGCGGUAAAACCAGCACCUGAAGUGGUCAGGAUGAUUAUUGGGCCUAAAGCAUCCGUAGCCGGCUCUGUAAGAUUUCGGUUAAAUCUGUACGCUCAACGUACAGGCAGCCGGGAAUACUGCAGAACUAGGGAGUGGGAGAGGUAGACGGUACUCGGUAGGAAGUGGUAAAAUGCUUUGAUCUAUCGAUGACCACCUGUGGCGAAGGCGGUCUACCAGAACACGUCCGACGGUGAGGGAUGAAAGCUGGGGGAGCAAACCGGAUUAGAUACCCGGGUAGUCCCAGCUGUAAACUAUGCAAACUCAGUGAUGCAUUGGCUUGUGGCCAAUGCAGUGCUGCAGGGAAGCCGUUAAGUUUGCCGCCUGGGAAGUACGUACGCAAGUAUGAAACUUAAAGGAAUUGGCGGGGGAGCACCACAAGGGGUGAAGCCUGCGGUUCAAUUGGAGUCAACGCCAGAAAUCUUACCCGGAGAGACAGCAGAAUGAAGGUCAAGCUGAAGACUUUACCAGACAAGCUGAGAGGUGGUGCAUGGCCGUCGCCAGCUCGUGCCGUGAGAUGUCCUGUUAAGUCAGGUAACGAGCGAGAUCCCUGCCUCUAG
rnacentral:rRNA from 1 species